UACGCUUCCUUAAGUGGGGGGCACAGUUGGAAACGACUGCUAAUACCGCAUAAUGUCUACGGACCAAAGGGGGCUUCGGCUCUCGCCUUUAGAUUGGCCCAAGUGGGAUUAGCUAGUUGGUGAGGUAAUGGCUCACCAAGGCGACGAUCCCUAGCUGGUUUGAGAGGAUGAUCAGCCACACUGGGACUGAGACACGGCCCAGACUCCUACGGGAGGCGGCAGUGGGGAAUAUUGCACAAUGGGCGCAAGCCUGAUGCAGCCAUGCCGCGUGUGUGAAGAAGGCCUUCGGGUUGUAAAGCACUUUCAGUCAGGAGGAAAGGUUAGUAGUUAAUACCUGCUAGCUGUGACGUUACUGACAGAAGAAGCACCGGCUAACUCCGUGCCAGCAGCCGCGGUAAUACGGAGGGUGCGAGCGUUAAUCGGAAUUACUGGGCGUAAAGCGUACGCAGGCGGUUUGUUAAGCGAGAUGUGAAAGCCCCGGGCUCAACCUGGGAACUGCAUUUCGAACUGGCAAACUAGAGUGUGAUAGAGGGUGGUAGAAUUUCAGGUGUAGCGGUGAAAUGCGUAGAGAUCUGAAGGAAUACCGAUGGCGAAGGCAGCCACCUGGGUCAACACUGACGCUCAUGCACGAAAGCGUGGGGAGCAAACGGGAUUAGAUACCCCGGUAGUCCACGCCGUAAACGAUGUCUACUAGAAGCUCGGAGCCUCGGUUCUGUUUUUCAAAGCUAACGCAUUAAGUAGACCGCCUGGGGAGUACGGCCGCAAGGUUAAAACUCAAUGAAUUUGACGGGGGGCCCGCACAAGCGGUGGAGCAAUGGUGGUUUAAUUCGAUGCAACGCGGAAGAACCUUAACCUACACUUUGACAUAUACAGAGAACUUUACCCAGAAGAUGGUUUGGGUGCCCUUCCGGGAACCUCUGGAUACAGGUGCUUGCAUGGGCCUGUCGUCAGCCUCCGGGUUGU
rnacentral:rRNA from 1 species